GUAGGUGGCAAGCGUUGUCCGGAAUUAUUGGGCGUAAAGCGCGCGCAGGCGGUUCUUUAAGUCUGAUGUGAAAGCCCACGGCUCAACCGUGGAGGGUCAUUGGAAACUGGAGAACUUGAGUACAGAAGAGGAAAGCGGAAUUCCACGUGUAGCGGUGAAAUGCGUAGAGAUGUGGAGGAACACCAGUGGCGAAGGCGGCUUUCUGGUCUGUAACUGACGCUGAGGCGCGAAAGCGUGGGGAGCAAACAGGGAUUAGAUACCCUGGUAGUCCACGCCGUAAACGAUGAGUGCUAAGUGUUAGGGGGGUUUCCGCCCCCCUUAGUGCUGCAGCUAACGCAUUAAGCACUCCGCCUGGGAGUACGGCCGCAAGGCCG
rnacentral:rRNA from 1 species